UACGAAGGGGGCUAGCGUUGUUCGGAUUUACUGGGCGUAAAGCGCACGUAGGCGGAUCGUUAAGUCGGGGGUGAAAUCCUGGAGCUCAACUCCAGAACUGCCUUCGAUACUGGCGAUCUUGAGUCCGGAAGAGGUGAGUGGAACUCCUAGUGUAGAGGUGGAAUUCGUAGAUAUUCGGAAGAACACCAGUGGCGAAGGCGACACACUGGCCCGUUACUGACGCUGAGGCGCGAAAGCGUGGGGAGCAAACAGG
rnacentral:rRNA from 1 species